AAAAAGUCAGGCCGGAUUAAGCCAUAGUACGGUAAGAGCUAUGCUGCCUGUGAGCCCCGUCCAAGGACGUAAAAUGAAGUCAGGCCGAAAGCCACGGCUUGAGCAAGCCGUGCUGCCUGUAGCUCCAUCGUGGGGAUGUAAAAACCCGGGAGGCUGCAAACCAUGGAAGCUGUACGCAUGGGGUAGCAGACUAGUGGUUAGAGGAGACCCCUCCCAAGACACAACGCAGCAGCGGGGCCCAACACCAGGGAA
rnacentral:lncRNA from 1 species